UACGUAGGGUGCGAGCGUUAAUCGGAAUUACUGGGCGUAAAGCGCGUGUAGGUGGAUUGGUGUGUCAGAUGUGAAAUCCCUGGGCUCAACCCAGGAACUGCACCUGAAACUACCAGUCUUGAGUGGUGGAGAGGGAAGUGGAAUUCCUGGUGUAGAGGUGAAAUUCGUAGAUAUCAGGAGGAACACCAGUGGCGAAGGCGGCUUCCUGGACACCAACUGACGCUGAGACGCGAAAGCGUGGGGAGCAAACAGG
rnacentral:rRNA from 1 species